GCUGAUACCAGAGUACCACAGGACACGAGGAAUCCGGUGGGAAGCAGGAGGGACCACCCUCCAAGGCUAAAUACGAUCCAGUGACCGAUAGCGCAUAGUACCGUGAGGGAAAGGUGAAAAGAACCCCGGGAGGGGAGUGAAAAAGAACCUGAAACCCUGUGCUUACAAGCAGAGAGAGCACAAUUAAGUGUGAUCUCGUACUUUUUGUAGAACGGACCGGCGAGUUACGUUAUGCAGCGAGGUUAAGGACUGAAGGUCCGGAGCCGAAGCGAGAGCGAGUCUGAAUAGGGCGUAUAGUUGCAUGACGUAGACCCGAAACCGGGUGACCUAUCCAUGGGCAGGUUGAAGUGGAAGUAAAAUUUCAUGGAGGACCGAACCAGACGUCUGUUGAAAAAGGCGGGGAUGACCUGUGGAUAGCGGAGAAAUUCCAAUCGAACCCGGAGAUAGCUGGUUCUCCUCGAAAUAGCUUUAGGGCUAGCCUCGCAUUAGUUUACCGGAGGUAGAGCACUGAAUGGUCUAGGGGGCCUCACCGCCUACCGAAACCUAUCAAACUGCGAAUGCCGGAUAAAUGAUGUGCGGGAGUCAGGCCGCGAGAGAUAAGUUCCGCGGUCAAAAGGGGAACACCCCAGAUCGUCUGCUAAGGUCCCCAAGUACGCGUUAAGUGGGAAAGGAUGUUGGAUUGCACAGACAACCAGGAUGUUGGCUUAGAAGCAGCCACACAUUCAAAGAGUGCGUAAUAGCUCACUGGUCGAGUGAUCCAGCGCCGAAAAUGUAACGGGGCUAAAACGCGACACCGAAGCAGCGGGAUGCGUAAGCAUCGGUAGAGGAGCAUUGUGUGAGGGUUGAAGCCAGAGCGGGAGCACUGGUGGACUUCACAGAAGAGAGAAUGCCGGUAUGAGUAGCGAGACCCAUGCGAGAAACAUGGGCGUCGAAGGCCCAAGGUUUCCUGGGGAAGGUUCAUCCACCCAGGGUAAGUCGGGACCUAAGCCGAGGACUGAGGUGGUAGGCGAUGGACAGCAGGUAGAGAUUCCUGCACCACUUACACUUGUUUGACGAAGCAGUGACACAGAAGGAUAGGACGAGCGCGGUGAUGGUCAACCGCGUAGGCGGCACGAGGCUGGGGAGCAGUUAAGUACACUUCCCAAGAAGGCUGAGUGCUGACAGGACCGAAAAAGAGUAGGGAAGCGUCUGAGUUCACGCUGGCGAGAAAAGCUGCUAAGGAGAGUGUGAGUGCCCGUACCGGAAACCGACGCAGGUGGGCGAGGAGAGAAUCCUGAGACGGACGGGAGAACUCUUGUUAAGGAACUCGGCAAAAUGACCCCGUAACUUCGGGAGAAGGGGUGCCUCGAAAGAGGCCGCAGAGAAUAGUCACAAGCGACUGUUUAGCAAAAACACAGGUAUCUGCGAAAGCGAGAGCUGACGUAAAGGUGCUGACGCCUGCCCGGUGCUGGAAGGUUAAGGGGAAGUGUUAGGGGAAACCCGAAGCAGAGAACCGAAGCCCCAGUAAACGGCGGCCGUAACUAUAACGGUCCUAAGGUAGCGAAAUUCCUUGUCGGGUAAGUUCCGACCCGCACGAAUGGCGUAACGACUUGUGAGCUGUCUCAACA
rnacentral:rRNA from 1 species